rnacentral:lncRNA from 1 species
GGGGCGACCCCCAUAUCCAAAACCCUAACAUCACCAAUUCUUGCAAAUUGAAGGCUCAAAUCCUAACCAAAACAAAAUCCGAGCUUAGAAUCGUGUUCCUCAUCGCGAGAGGGUCUAGAGGCAAAGAGUCCGGUUCCUCUAGCGGACAAGCCGAGGGGAAAUCACGAGGAAAAGGCGCGCUCUAAAGUUCUCAGGUACCAAGAAAAAGGAUGAAGAUCAAGCAAAUGAAUCGAACCGAACACACACAUUUCAAGAACGCUUCCGCAUCCAAACUUUGUGUUAGAAACUAUGUAAAUUAAUGGUAGUUACUGUCUUGUAUGUGGUUUGUAACAACAAUACACGAAGGUUGUGUUAAUUUUGGGUUAAACUAUGAAAGUUUUUGUAAAGUCGUCAUUUUGGCGUUAAAUGCAAGGUUUUUAGGUUAUUAAAUUUGGUAAAAUAAGCUGGGUCUUACACCUAAGCCUAACAAAAACUAAUGUCCUUCUUUCUUCAUUAACACAUAAACCGCAAGACACGUUAAAUAUGUAUUAGUUGCGUAAUUGUCAUUGAUUCCUAACACUGUAAGAGUGUUUUUGGUUAAAAGGGUUUUUACCCUACAAUCAAGAGUCUGGACCACGCUCUUAAAACUCAAUAAUGCAGGGUCACAUUUGGUCAGUGGCGGAUCUAGGAUUCCGACCAAGCGGUAACGUUUUAUAAAUAGGCGGUAACGAAAUCGAAAAAAACGUUAAAUUUUUCUAAAAUUUACACUAAAAACGUCAAAAAUUCUCCGACCAAGCGGUAGCGGAGGCUACCCCUUGUUCACACAUACAUCCGCCCCUGCAUUUGGUGCACCGGGUUUGGGAAAAAUGAAAUAAAAGGUGUUGUUUAUGAUGACGUUGUUCAUGCUUUUGAAAGAUAGCAUGCUUCUGGUGUCAAGGUGUACAUUUAUUCGAGAGGUAGCAGAUUGGCACAACGGCUAA